rnacentral:rRNA from 1 species
AGAGUUUGAUCCUGGCUCAGGAUGAACGCUAGCGGCAGGCCUAACACAUGCAAGUCGAGGGGCAGCACGGUGUAGCAAUACACUGGUGGCGACCGGCGCACGGGUGCGUAACGCGUAUGCAACCUACCCAUAACAGGGGGAUAACACUGAGAAAUUGGUACUAAUACCCCAUAACAUCAGGACCGGCAUCGGUUUUGGUUGAAAACUCCGGUGGUUAUGGAUGGGCAUGCGUUGUAUUAGCUGGUUGGUGAGGUAACGGCUCACCAAGGCAACGAUACAUAGGGGGACUGAGAGGUUAACCCCCCACAUUGGUACUGAGACACGGACCAAACUCCUACGGGAGGCAGCAGUGAGGAAUAUUGGUCAAUGGACGCAAGUCUGAACCAGCCAUGCCGCGUGCAGGAAGACGGCUCUAUGAGUUGUAAACUGCUUUUGUACGAGGGUAAACGCUCUUACGUGUAAGAGCCUGAAAGUAUCGUACGAAUAAGGAUCGGCUAACUCCGUGCCAGCAGCCGCGGUAAUACGGAGGAUCCAAGCGUUAUCCGGAUUUAUUGGGUUUAAAGGGUGCGUAGGCGGUUUGAUAAGUUAGAGGUGAAAUACCGGUGCUUAACACCGGAACUGCCUCUAAUACUGUUGAACUAGAGAGUAGUUGCGGUAGGCGGAAUGUAUGGUGUAGCGGUGAAAUGCUUAGAGAUCAUACAGAACACCGAUUGCGAAGGCAGCUUACCAAACUAUAUCUGACGUUGAGGCACGAAAGCGUGGGGAGCAAACAGGAUUAGAUACCCUGGUAGUCCACGCAGUAAACGAUGAUAACUCGUUGUCGGCGAUACACAGUCGGUGACUAAGCGAAAGCGAUAAGUUAUCCACCUGGGGAGUACGUUCGCAAGAAUGAAACUCAAAGGAAUUGACGGGGGCCCGCACAAGCGGAGGAACAUGUGGUUUAAUUCGAUGAUACGCGAGGA